rnacentral:rRNA from 1 species
UACGAAGGGGGCUAGCGUUGCUCGGAAUCACUGGGCGUAAAGGGUGCGUAGGCGGGUCUUUUAAGUCAGGGGUGAAAUCCUGGAGCUCAACUCCAGAACUGCCUUUGAUACUGAGGAUCUUGAGUUCGGGAGAGGUGAGUGGAACUGCGAGUGUAGAGGUGAAAUUCGUAGAUAUUCGCAAGAACACCAGUGGCGAAGGCGGCCAACUGGACGAGUACUGACGCUGAGACACGAAAGCGUGGGGAGCGAACGGG